AUGCCGAGAUGGGGUGUGAGGACUCCCGAUUCCGGAGCGGACAUCCACUGCUGGGCGACCUCAGGCGGCUCUCCCCGCGCGCUCUGGGUUUCCGGGUCUGUGAAGUGGGACAGCCUGGUCCCCGCUGGGGCAGCCUCCAGCCCCAAGCAUCCCUCCUGGUUCCGGGCUAGGUGCACGGUGCCUGGUCCUGAGAGGCCUUGCUGGAGCUGGAGACGGAGCUGGCCGGCGGCAGGGAGCCGAGGGCAGGAAGCUGGCAGGUGGCCCUCACCCGCCAGCCGCUCAGGGCCCCCAGGCACUGCACCCCCAGCCCGACGCCACUUUCUAGCCAUCUGGGUUGUUCCAGAGUCCUGCCCUGUGAGGUCAAAGCCUUCGGAGCUGGAGGGAAGGACCAGAGAAGACGGCCCACCACCAGCAGCCGCGUCAGGGUUUGCAGGGAGGAAGAGUGGACAGACACCCACAGGGGCAGAGAGACCCCGAGGCCAGCAGGCGACCUGCACACUGGGUCCAGGCAGGGGUCAAGGACAGGGCUGGAGUGAGCGAGAUGCUCAGGUCCGACACUGUCGCCCUGAAGAAGGUAGGUGGCCUUCCUGUUGAGCCACUGCCACUCCGAGCUGUGCCUGCAGACCACACACGCUCUGUGCUCAGGCCCCUGGUGAAGCCACAUCUGCCAGACGUGAGCCACCAGGGACAGGACGACCCUAAGAAGUCAACCCCGGCCUCACUGGGGGUCCAGGGCCCAGCAGUUGGGAGACCACCCCUCCUCCCUGGGCAAUGAGGAGGAGCUUGACGGCCCCAUCGGGGUGGCCUCUAGGGGAGCCCUGGGCCCUGAGGCACGAGGUCCACCCCGCGCUAGGGCAGACUCAGAGCUGGGCUCCUCAGGAGCAAGAGGCUACCCAGCUGCAGGGAGGGGGGUCAGCGGAUGGCUAACCCGAGGACGGGGUCUGCCUCGGCUGCCAAGGUCAAGGUCAUCUUCUCGGGCCCUGCAGCCAGUGCCUGAGUGAGGGAGGGUGCGAGGGCCCAGCCCCUGCCACCCCACGCAGGCUCCUCUGACGGGCAGCGAUGGCUCGGAGCUCCACCCGGCUGUCGGAGGCGCGCGCAGCAGAUCCGAACGUCAGUUUACCAACCCCUCCUACCCACCCCUGCUCGUCCCUUCUCUCCACUGGUGCUGCUCCCCAAUAAAUCUUUUGCUUCCCUGACUCUGGCUCA
rnacentral:lncRNA from 1 species